rnacentral:rRNA from 1 species
UACGUAGGGACCGAGCGUUGUCCGGAAUCAUUGGGCGUAAAGAGCUCGUAGGCGGUCUGUCGCGUCGAUCGUGAAAACUUGGGGCUUAACCCUGAGCUUGCGGUCGAUACGGGCAUGACUGGAGUUCGGCAGGGGAGACUGGAAUUCCUGGUGUAGCGGUGAAAUGCGCAGAUAUCAGGAGGAACACCGGUGGCGAAGGCGGGUCUCUGGGCCGAUACUGACGCUGAGGAGCGAAAGCGUGGGGAGCGAACAGG